rnacentral:rRNA from 1 species
CCUACGGGUGGCAGCAGUGAGGAAUAUUGGUCAAUGGCCGGAAGGCUGAACCAGCCAAGCCGCGUGAAGGACGAAGGUGUCAAGCAUUGUAAACUUCUUUUGUCAAGGGACAAAAUCAGGCUCGAGAGCCUGACCGAGGGUACUUGAAGAAAAAGCAUCGGCUAACUUCGUGCCAGCAGCCGCGGUAAUAUGGGGGAUGCGAGCGUUACCUGGAUCUAUGGGGUUGAAAGGGUGCGUAGGGGGACUGUUAAGUCAGCGGUAAAAGCCCGGGGCUCAACCCCGGCGAGCCGUUGAAACUGGCUGUCUUGAGAUGUCGAGAGGGAUGCAGAAUGCGCAGUGUAGCGGUGAAAUGCGUAGAUAUUGCGCAGAACUCCGGUUGCGAAGGCAGCAUCCCGGCGGCGAUCUGACGCUGAGGCACGAAAGCGUGGGUAUCGAACAGGAUUAGAUACCCGGGUAGUC